GCCCAGGUGGCGGAAUUGGUAGACGCGCUAGCUUCAGGUGCUAGUGCCCUUUUGGGCGUGGAAGUUCGAGUCUUCUCCUGGGCACCA
rnacentral:tRNA from 1 species